rnacentral:rRNA from 1 species
GUGUCAGCAGCCGCGGUAAUACGGAGGGCGCAAGCGUUGUUCGGAAUCACUGGGCGUAAAGCGCGUGUAGGCGGCUUGGCAAGUCGGGUGUGAAAUCCCGAGGCUCAACCUCGGAACUGCACUCGAAACUGCCUGGCUCGAGUCCCGGAGAGGGUGGCGGAAUUCCCGGUGUAGGGGUGAAAUCCGUAGAUAUCGGGAGGAACACCAGUGGCGAAGGCGGCCACCUGGACGGUGACUGACGCUGAGACGCGAAAGCGUGGGGAGCAAACAGGAUUAGAAACCCGGGUAGUCC